rnacentral:rRNA from 1 species
GGGGAUUAGUGGCGAACGGGUGAGUAACACGUGAGUAACCUGCCCUUGACUCUGGGAUAAGCCUGGGAAACUGGGUCUAAUACCGGAUAUGACUCCUCAUCGCAUGGUGGGGGGUGGAAAGCUUUUGUGGUUUUGGAUGGACUCGCGGCCUAUCAGCUUGUUGGUGGGGUAAUGGCCUACCAAGGCGACGACGGGUAGCCGGCCUGAGAGGGUGACCGGCCACACUGGGACUGAGACACGGCCCAGACUCCUACGGGAGGCAGCAGUGGGGAAUAUUGCACAAUGGGCGAAAGCCUGAUGCAGCGACGCCGCGUGAGGGAUGACGGCCUUCGGGUUGUAAACCUCUUUCAGUAGGGAAGAAGCGAAAGUGACGGUACCUGCAGAAGAAGCGCCGGCUAACUACGUGCCAGCAGCCGCGGUAAUACGUAGGGCGCAAGCGUUAUCCGGAAUUAUUGGGCGUAAAGAGCUCGUAGGCGGUUUGUCGCGUCUGCUGUGAAAGACCGGGGCUCAACUCCGGUUCUGCAGUGGGUACGGGCAGACUAGAGUGCAGUAGGGGAGACUGGAAUUCCUGGUGUAGCGGUGAAAUGCGCAGAUAUCAGGAGGAACACCGAUGGCGAAGGCAGGUCUCUGGGCUGUAACUGACGCUGAGGAGCGAAAGCAUGGGGAGCGAACAGGAUUAGAUACCCUGGUAGUCCAUGCCGUAAACGUUGGGCACUAGGUGUGGGGGACAUUCCACGUUUUCCGCGCCGUAGCUAACGCAUUAAGUGCCCCGCCUGGGGAGUACGGCCGCAAGGCUAAAACUCAAAGGAAUUGACGGGGGCCCGCACAAGCGGCGGAGCAUGCGGAUUAAUUCGAUGCAACGCGAAGAACCUUACCAAGGCUUGACAUGAACCGGAAAGACCUGGAAACAGGUGCCCCGCUUGCGGUCGGUUUACAGGUGGUGCAUGGUUGUCGUCAGCUCGUGUCGUGAGAUGUUGGGUUAAGUCCCGCAACGAGCGCAACCCUCGUUCUAUGUUGCCAGCGCGUUAUGGCGGGGACUCAUAGGAGACUGCCGGGGUCAACUCGGAGGAAGGUGGGGACGACGUCAAAUCAUCAUGCCCCUUAUGUCUUGGGCUUCACGCAUGCUACAAUGGCCGGUACAAAGGGUUGCGAUACUGUGAGGUGGAGCUAAUCCCAAAAAGCCGGUCUCAGUUCGGAUUGGGGUCUGCAACUCGACCCCAUGAAGUCGGAGUCGCUAGUAAUCGCAGAUCAGCAACGCUGCGGUGAAUACGUUCCCGGGCCUUGUACACACCGCCCGUCAAGUCACGAAAGUUGGUAACACCCGAAGCCGGU